rnacentral:rRNA from 1 species
CCUACGGGUGGCAGCAGUGAGGAAUAUUGGUCAAUGGGCGCAAGCCUGAACCAGCCAAGUAGCGUGAGGGAAGACUGCCCUACGGGUUGUAAACUGCUUUUGUAAGGGGAUAACGUCAGCUACGUGUACCUGUCUGCAGGUACCGUACGAAUAAGGCUCGGCUAACUCCGUGCCAGCAGCCGCGGUAAUACGGAGGAUUCGAGCGUUAUCCGGAUUUAUUGGGUUUAAAGGGUGCGUAGGCGGGCUGUUAAGGCAGGGGUGAAAGUCGGGGGCUCAAACCUGGAAUUGCAGUUGAUACUGGCAGUCUUGAGUGGAGUUGAGGUAGGCGGAAUUCGUGGUGUAGCGGUGAAAUGCUUAGAUAUCACGCAGAACUCCGAUUGCGAAGGCAGCUUACCAA